rnacentral:rRNA from 1 species
CGAGGAAAAGAAAUCAACCGAGAUUCCCCCAGUAGCGGCGAGCGAACGGGGAGCAGCCCAGAGCCUGAAUCAGUAUGUGUGUUAGUGGAAGCGUCUGGAAAGGCGCGCGAUACAGGGUGACAGCCCCGUACACAAAAAUGCACAUGCUGUGAGCUCGAUGAGUAGGGCGGGACACGUGGUAUCCUGUCUGAAUAUGGGGGGACCAUCCUCCAAGGCUAAAUACUCCUGACUGACCGAUAGUGAACCAGUACCGUGAGGGAAAGGCGAAAAGAACCCCGGCGAGGGGAGUGAAAAAGAACCUGAAACCGUGUACGUACAAGCAGUGGGAGCACGCUUAGGCGUGUGACUGCGUACCUUUUGUAUAAUGGGUCAGCGACUUAUAUUCUGUAGCAAGGUUAACCGAAUAGGGGAGCCGAAGGGAAACCGAGUCUUAACUGGGCGUUAAGUUGCAGGGUAUAGACCCGAAACCCGGUGAUCUAGCCAUGGGCAGGUUGAAGGUUGGGUAACACUAACUGGAGGACCGAACCGACUAAUGUUGAAAAAUUAGCGGAUGACUUGUGGCUGGGGGUGAAAGGCCAAUCAAACCGGGAGAUAGCUGGUUCUCCCCGAAAGCUAUUUAGGUAGCGCCUCGUGAAUUCAUCUCCGGGGGUAGAGCACU